rnacentral:misc_RNA from 1 species
GAAAUGCGAUAAGUAAUGUGAAUUGCAGAAUUCAGUGAAUCAUCGAAUCUUUGAACGCACAUUGCGCCCGCCAGUACUCUGGCGGGCAUGCCUGUUCGAGCGUCAUUUCAACCAUCAAGCCCCCGGCUUGUGUUGGGGACCUGCGGCUGCCCGCAGGCCCUGAAAAACAGUGGCGGGCUCGCUGUCACACCGAGCGUAGUAGCAUACAUUCUCUCUCAGGGCGUGCUGCGGGUUCCGGCCGUUAAACGACCUUCAUAACCCAAGGUUGACCUCGGAUCAGGUAGGAAGACCCGCUGAACUUAAGC